UUACGGCCAUAUCACAUUCAAGCACCAGUUCGUAUCUGAUCAAUCAUCAAAGUUAAGCAAUAUUGAGGCUGGUCAGUACCUAGAUGGGUGACCACUUGGGAAUAUCAAGUGCUGUAU